AUUGAACGCUGGCGGAAUGCUUAACACAUGCAAGUCGAACGGCAGCAUGGUGUGUAGCAAUACACACUGAUGGCAAGUGGCGGACGGGUGAGUAACGCGUAGGGAUCUACCCUGUAGUGGGGGACAACCCGGGGAAACUCGGGCUAAUACCGCAUACUACUCUGAGGAGGAAAGCUGGCUCGCAAGAGCUGGCGCUAUGGGAGGAACCUGCGUCCGAUUAGCUAGCUGGUGAGGUAAAGCUCACCAGGGCGAUGAUCGGUAGCUGGUCUGAGAGGAUGACCAGCCACACUGGGACUGAGACACGGCCCAGACUCCUACGGGAGGCAGCAGUGGGGAAUAUUGGACAAUGGGGGCAACCCUGAUCCAGCAAUUCCGCGUGUGUGAAGAAGGCCUUCGGGUUGUAAAGCACUUUGGACGGGGAAGAAGGCAUUCUGUUUAAGAGAUGGGAUGUUUGACGGUACCCGUAGAACAAGCACCGGCUAACUCUGUGCCAGCAGCCGCCGUAA
rnacentral:rRNA from 1 species